GUGCUCACUUCAGCAGCACCUAUACUAAAAUUGGAGCAGUACAGAGAAGAUUAAUACGACCCCUGCACAAGAUGACAUGCAAAGUUCAUGAAACAUUCCAUUUAAUC